rnacentral:lncRNA from 12 species
CCCGGCUUUGGCCGCUGCUCCGUGUCCCCUGCCUGGCCUUGUCCCCGCCCUGGGGACAGGGGGUGGUGGCACCGCCGUGUUUGUGACACCAGAAUCUCUCCGUGUCCCCCAGCGCCCUCCUGGUGUCACCCCUGGUGGCUUUUGGGGGUGCACGGUGACAUCAGCGUCCUGCGCUUUUGGGGACAGCGGUGCCACCUCCGGGGGGACACAUCCCCGUGGUGUCCCCAAAACCAUCUUGGGGACAACGCCCCGAAUCCACAGUGGCACUGCCGGGGGGGGGGAUUCAAUGUGACAUCGGUGUCCUGCACCUCUGGGGACAGCAGUGCCACCUCUGUGCCUCAUUGUCCCCAAGGGACACAGCCCGGCCAUGGGACGUCCCCGUGGUGUCCCCAGUGCCACCUUGGGGACAAUGCUCUGAAUUCAGAGUGAGGGGGGAUUCAAUGACAUCGGUGUCCUGUGCUUUUGGGGACAGCGGUGCCACCUCAGUGCCUGUCCCCAACCCCAACCCCACGGCUGAGGGGACACAGCCCGGCCAUGGGACAUCCCUUGGUGUCCCCAGUGCCAUCUUGGGGACAAGGCCACGAAUCCAUGGUGGCACUGCAAGGGGGGGCUCAAUGAGUGAGGUGCCACCAGUGCCACUGGCGCUUUUGGGGACAGCGGUGCCACCUCAGUGCCUGUCCCCAACCCCAACCCCACUCCUGAGGGGUCACAGCCCGGCCAUGGGACAUCCCCGUGGUGUCCCCACGCCACUUUGGUGACAACGCCCUGAAUCCACGGUGACCCUGCAAUGGGGGGAUUCACCCACCGUGGUGACGCUGGUGUCCUGCACGUUUGGGGACAGCGGUGCCACCUCCAUACCUGUCCCCAACCCCACUCCUGAGGGGACACAGCCCGGCCAUGGGACAUCCCCGUGGUGUCCCCAGUGCCACCUUGGGGACAAUGCUCUGAAUUCAGAGCGAGGGGGGAUUCGAUGACAUCGGUGUCCUGCGCUUUUGGGGACAGCGGUGCCACCUCUGUGCCUGUCCUCCUGUCCCCAACCCCACUCCUGAGGGGACACAGCCCGGCCAUGGGACAUCCCCGUGGUGUCCCCAGUGCCACCUUGGGGACAAUGCUCUGAAUUCAGAGCGAGGGGGGAUUCGAUGACAUCAUGGUGUCCCCAACGCCACUUUGGGGACAACGCCCCGAAUCCACCGCGAUGGGCACGGAAUGGGGGGGGUUGGGCUCAAGGACCGCGGUGCCGCCGGUGCCGCCGGUGCCAUCGGUGCCACCAGUGCCACCCCCGCAGGUACCACGACAAGCAGGAGGUGACCAGUAACUUCCUGGGGGCCAUGUGGCUGAUCUCCAUCACCUUCCUGUCCAUCGGCUACGGGGACAUCCCAUUAAAAUGGGCGAAAACCCUGUUCAGACUGAGGAAAAUCCCAUUAAAACUCAUU